AUGACAAUACUGUUAGAUCAACACAUGAUUUUCAUUCUUCUCUUUUGCCUCUGGCACAUAAGUAUUGCACAAGCAGCAUCAAGAGCAGAAACCCCGCCCAUAGCAAUGCCUAAUUGCACAACGCUAUGCGGAGGUGUGAGCAUCCCUUACCCUUUUGGCAUUGGACCAAGCACCAAUUGUUUCUUAAACGAGUGGUUUCAAAUAGACUGCAACAAGUCUACUCGGCACAAGCCGUUCUUGCGGCGUGCCCAACUGGAGGUGCUCAGCAUUUCUAUCAAUGGCACGCUUCGCGUUAACAGCCCCGUCACUUUUCUGUGCAACACCAAGAAGGGAAAUUCAAGUCACCAACUGCUGGCAAAUUUGACGGGAAGCUUCUUUGUGUUCUCUCAGAGGCACAACAUAUUCACUGCAGUGAGUUGCGGCUUCCUUGCCGUUGUGACAAGCUCAAAUGACGAUGAUAUGGUUGCUGUUACCGAUAAAAUCAUCGGUGGCUGCAGGUCCAUUUGUGAUAGCUUUCAAAAGGGUAGGUCAAACUAUGACGGCUGCGAUGGUAUUAACUGUUGCCAAACUACAAUUCCACCAAACCUCACUUCCGUCACCGCUCACAUUCUAUAUGCAAACGCAUCGGCUAUAGAUUCCGUCCAGGCGAUGGAGAAGGUCCCUGUGGUGCUAGAAUGGGCCUUACAGUAUGAUAAUAAUGUAACCGAUCUACUGUUCACUGGCUUCAUUCAUGGUGAAAGAAAUCAUUCCAGGCGGCAUUAUCCAACACCUUAUUGUGAGGUCGAUGAAACUUCCACUUAUUCUUUUUCACCACAGCAUAUGGCCGCAUCGUUCUACUGUCACUGCCCGGAAGGCUUCGAAGGAAAUCCCUAUCUUCGACAAUCUUGCGAUGACAUUGAUGAAUGCUCGUACAACCCUACUAUAUGCUUGGCCGGAAGCAAGUGUGUGAACGACUAUGGGGAGUACCAUUGCUCCGUGAAUAAAAUGCGUACUCUCAAGUGGGCCCUUAAAGGUCUUGGCUCGGGUCUUGGACUAAUAUUGCUACUUAUUGGUCUAUGGCUGGGAUACAGACUCAUAAAGAAAAGGAAUGACAUUAAAAAAAGGAAGAAGUUUUUCAAACGAAAUGGCGGUUUGUUGUUAGAACAACAAUUAUCGUCUGGUGGAAGUUAACGUUGAGAGAAUCAAGUUGUUCAAAUCCACAGAGUUAGAGAAAUCUACUGACAAUUUUAAUGUCAAUAGAAUUCUAGGUCAAGGAGGACAAGGUACUGUUUACAAAGGAAUGUUGACGGAUGGUAGGAUCGUUGCUGUAAAAAAGUCUAAAGUAGUUGAUGAAGGCCAACUUUCAGAGUUCAUCAAUGAAGUUGUGAUUCUUUCACAAAUCAACCACAGGAAUGUGGUUAAAAUACUGGGUUGCUGCUUAGAGACUGAAGUUCCUCUUUUGGUUUAUGAAUUCAUACCCAAUUAAUGGAACUCUUUAUCAGUAUAUCCAAGGACAGAUUGAAGAGUUUCAACUUACAUGGCAAAUGCGCUUACGCAUUGCCUUAGAAAUUUCAGGUGCUCUUUCGUACUUACACUCUGCAGCUUCCUUUCCCAUAUAUCACAGAGACAUUAAGUCUACCAACAUACUCUUGGACGAAAAGUACAGAGCAAAAGUUGCUGACUUUGGAACUUCGAGAUCAAUUGUCAUAGGUCAAACUCACCUGACCACAGUUAUACAUGGAACAUUUGGUUAUUUGGACCCGGAAUACUUUCGGUCAAGCCAAUUUACUGAGAAAAGUGAUGUCUAUAGCUUCGGAGUGGUCCUUGUUGAGCUCUUGACUGGAGAAAAACACAUUUCUUUAGUAACAAGCUCAGCGAAAGAAAAAGAAUACAGAAGUCUUGCUGCAUAUUUCAUUACAUCGAUGGAGGAAGAUCGUCUGUUAGACAUUGUUGAUGCUCUGGUUUUGAAGGAGGGCUCUGAAAUAGAGAUCAGGGUAGUUGCUAACCUUGCAAGAAGAUGUUUGAAUUUGAAUGGAAGGAAUCGACCUACAAUGAGAGAGGUCACAGCGGAGUUGGAGGCACUUCAAAUGGCAGAAAAAUCCUCUAAUACUCAACAAAAUUAUGAAGGUCUGGAAUUUGUCGAACAUAAAUCUAUUGAGAAAUGGGGUGCUGUUUCAAGCUCAACAGGAACAGGAUGGUCAGCUUGGGAUCGUGAUGGUGAUGAUCCAACUUCGUUAUUACUUAAACUUCCACAAUUAUCUGUGAAAACAUGGUGA